rnacentral:piRNA from 1 species
UCGAGGAUGGACUCUUUCUGGUGCCCGCAAU